rnacentral:ncRNA from 1 species
GGAAGGCCGAAAGGUCUUCCACGACGAUACUUAUUUCCUUUGAUCGUCGUUAUUACUGGCUUCGGCCACAAAGGAGA